rnacentral:rRNA from 1 species
UUGUUGCAGUUAAAAAGCUCGUAGUUGAAUAUCUGGUAUAACGUACCUGGCCCGCAGCCUUUAGGCUUGUGUGUGCCGGCGCACGUUUGCCAUCUUUCUAGAAAACGGGUCUGCCAUUAACUUGGUGGGUUCGGGAUCUAGAUCAUUUACUUUGAAAAAAUUAGAGUGUUUAAAGCAAGCAAUUGCUCUGAAUACAUUAGCAUGGAAUAAUAAUCUAGGACCUCGGUUCUAUUUUGUUGGUUUCUAAAACUGAAGUAAUGAUUGAUAGGGACAGUUGGGGGUGCUAGUAUUGGCCGGCCAGAGGUGAAAUUCUUGGAUUCGGUCAAGACUAACUUAUGCGAAAGCAUUCACCAAGGAUGUCUUCUUUAAUCAAGAACGAAAGUUGGGGGAUCGAAGACGAUCAGAUACCGUCGUAGUCUCAACCAUAAACUAUGCCAACUAGGGAUGGGUGAACGUUGCUUUUUCGACUUCAUCCGCACCUUAUGAGAAAUCAAAGUCUUUGGGUUCCGGGGGGAGUAUGGUCGCAAGGCUGAAACUUAAAGGAAUUGACGGAAGGGCACCACCAGGAGUGGAGCCUGCGGCUUAAUUUGACUCAACACGGGAAAACUUACCAGGUCCGGACAUAGUGA